AAGGAUGUGGCGCAACUUAGUAACGCGUUUGUUUUGGGUACAAAAUGUCACGGUUCAAUCCUGUCAUUUCUA
rnacentral:tRNA from 1 species